CUCGUAGGCGGCCAACUAAGUCGGAUGUGAAAUCCCCAGGCUCAACCUGGGAACUGCAUCCGAUACUGGAUGGCUUGAAUUCGGGAGAGGGAUGCAGAAUUCCAGGUGUAGCGGUGAAAUGCGUAGAUAUCUGGAGGAAUACCGGUGGCGAAGGCGGCAUCCUGGACCGGACAUUGACGCUGAUGAGCGAAAGCUAGGGAGCAAACG
rnacentral:rRNA from 1 species